rnacentral:rRNA from 1 species
AACGAACGCUGGCGGCAGGCCUAACACAUGCAAGUCGAGCGCCCUUUCGGGGGUGCGGCGGACGGGUGAGUACCGCGUGGGAAUAUGCCCUUCUCUACGUAAUAGCCUCGGGAAACUGAGAGUAAUACCGUAUACGCCCUGUGGGGGAAAGAUUUAUCGGGGAAGGAUUAGCCCGCGUUGGAUUAGGUAGUUGGUGGGGUAAUGGCCUACCAAGCCGACGAUCCAUAGCUGGUUUGAGAGGAUGAUCAGCCACACUGGGACUGAGACACGGCCCAGACUCCUACGGGAGGCAGCAGUGGGGAAUCUUAGACAAUGGGGGCAACCCUGAUCGAGCCAUGCCGCGUGAGUGAUGAAGGCCUUAGGGUUGUAAAGCUCUUUCAGCUGGGAAGAUAAUGACGGUACCAGCAGAAGAAGCCCCGGCUAACUCCGUG